rnacentral:lncRNA from 1 species
GUGUGUGUUCUGGUUCGACUAAACACAGGGGGCGACCAGGAAGUUCCCCUUCAAACCCUAACUCUUACAAAACUCACAAAUUGAAGGCUCAAAUCAAGUCCAAAUCGAAAUCUGAAUAUAGAUUAGUGAUCACCUCGGCGAAGGGAUCAUAAGAAGUAUGUUAAACACUAGGAUUAUCAUUGAUAACUUAGUGUAUUUGAGCUGUAUGGAGCAAGGAAACCGGGACGCCAAGCGGACAAGCUAGUGGCGAUAUGCAUUUGAAAGGAUUGCUCUAAAGGUAAUGCUCGUUUCGUUAUGGAUGUUGAUCAAGCAAGGAAAUCAAGAACAGAACACAAGUUUUGAAUGCUUCCGCGAUAAUCUAAUCUAGUUCAAACCAUGUUGUUUUGUAAACACUUCUAAACGUUGAAUAUUUUAAUCUAGUUAGUUGACUAUAUUCAAAUGCUAUAAUGAAGUAUAUCUUAGUUUAUUAACUAAGUUUUUGU